rnacentral:hammerhead_ribozyme from 1 species
AUCCAGCUGACGAGUUCCAAAUAGAAUGAAAGGUGUAUCCUGGAU